rnacentral:ribozyme from 14 species
ACACACACACAAAGACACAUAAAUACAGACACACACAAAAACACAAAUGGAGAGAUGGAUUUUAAACACGACUUCUCGCUCUCUCUCUCUCUCUGUGUUCUCUUUCUCUUUUCGUUCUUA